rnacentral:lncRNA from 1 species
ACUGAGCAUUGUUGAAAAUGCUAGUGAUGGAAUAUCAAAUAAAAUUAAGGGCCUGACUUACAGUCAGGUAGAAAGAAGGACACUAUAUGCUAAAGCUGCUAUGAUGGGCAACUGGGCAAGAAAAGGCAGAGGCAGAGAGUUUAAUUGUAUGGAGACAACUGGGUACAAGUAGGGUCAGUAUCAGGAGAGGCUUCUUAAAGAAGGUGAUGCUUGGGCUGAUUCAUGAGAGAUGAGUGUUUACCUCAUGAGGAGGAGCUUGAUUGGAUGAAGGGAGAUGGAAGAGCAUGGAGGACAGUACAGAAGCCCAGAGAUAGGCAAGACAACUUCACCCAGGAAGCAUAUAAAACCACUCCAGUGGACAAUGUCUUUCUCUUGGACCAGAUGAGUUCUGAAAUCCAAUCUAGUGUAGCCAUUGAUUCAUUUGGAUAGAGAAGACAAGAUUGAGAAACAGUAUAAAACAGAACACAUAACUGCCUUCCUGUAUGCCUCAGUGUCCUCAACAAAAGAGAAAGAAAGCCAGAAGAAAAGAAAGAGAAAGAGAGAGAGA